rnacentral:rRNA from 1 species
UACGUAGGUGGCAAGCGUUGUCCGGAUUUACUGGGCGUAAAGAGCGCGCAGGCGGUCGAUUUAGUCGCGUGUGAAAGCCCCCGGCUCAACUGGGGAGGGUCACGCGAUACUGAUCGACUCGAAGGCAGGAGAGGGUAGUGGAAUUCCCGGUGUAGUGGUGAAAUGCGUAGAUAUCGGGAGGAACACCAGUGGCGAAGGCGACUACCUGGCCUGUUCUUGGCGCUGAGGCGCGAAAGCUAGGGGAGCAAACGGG